AUGGAAUAUGCAAUCUUGUCUGCCAUUGUUGCCAUGUGAAUGAGCCAAGAUCUGCUCUACCACUGCUCUGAAGAAGUAUGUCCUAGAGAAUCACCCAGGAACCAAUUCUAACUAUCAAAUGCAUUUGCUGAAAAAGCCCUGCAGAAAUGCGAAAAGAAUGGGUGGAUGGAACAGAUCUCUGGGAAAGGGUUCAGUAGCACCUUCCAGCUCUGUUUUCCCUAUUAUCCCAGCCCAGGAGUUCUAUUUCCGAAGAAAGAGCCAGACGAUUCUAGAGAUGAGGAUGAGGAUGAAGAUGAGUCAUCAGAAGAAGACUCUGAGGAUGAAGAGCCGCCACCUAAAAAAAGGUUGCAGAAGAAAACCCCAGCCAAGUCCCCAGGGAAGGCCACGUCUGUGAAGCAGAGAGGGUCCAAACCUACACCUAAAGUCUCAGCUGCCCAGCGGAGUAAAGCUAGGCCCUUGCCCAAGAAAGCCCCUCCUAAAGCCAAAACUCCUGCCAAGAAAGCCAGACCCUCACCCACAGUCAUCAAGAAACCUAGUGGUGGCUCCUCAAAGAAGCCUGCAACCAGUGCAAGAGAGGAAGUAAAAUUGCCGGGCAAGGGUAAAUCCACCAUGAAGAAGUCUUUCAGAGUGAAAAAGUAAAUUUUAUAGGAAAAAGGGUAUCAUGAUGAAAUUCAAAAUCUUAUUUUCUAAGGUCAGUGUGCAUUUGUUUAGUUUUGACGCUUUUCAAAUUACAUUAUUUUCCUCCCCUAUGAACAUUGUGGGGAGGGACUAUAAAUAAACCAGUGUAGGCACUUGCUAGCUUUAGGUACUUUUCUUGGUGCCUGCCCUUUUCCUUGUUCAUUUUAAUUUCUGCAAUAAUCCUGGACUUUCCUUAACUAUGUAAUCUAUACUUGUCCUUUUUUCCCCCCUCCCCCAACCCCUAUUGUUUUUAUGGUCAGCUUUGCCUUUUUUUUUUCCUUCCAAUUUUAUCUGAACAGUUGCAAAGAUUUUUAUAUUUGUAGAAAGCAUCAAGAACGGUAUGUCAGUCAGGUCCUGGAAGUAAAAUGGAGGCGAAAUAUGGCACUGACUGAAUUGUAAAGCCUCCUGCCUCGAAACUUCAGUGAUAGCUGUAAUAAUUAAUCUUAUUUAUAAAAGCCACUCCACUAACCUUUUCUCUCCAACUAUAAACACAGAGACAGCUUUGGGAAUAAGCCAAAAAACAGUGUGAUCUCAUCAGAUUUUGAAGAUACAUGACUUCUUUGGGUUAGUUUUCAUAUUGAUCAAUUUCCAUGUAUUUUUCACUGGCCCAAAGUAUUGCAUUCCCUUAACAGCAAGCACAAGUUCUCUAUAUCACUUGUUUUUGUUGUUGUUGUUGUUGUUGUUGUUGUUGUUAUUAUUGUUGUUAUUUUGAGACAGGGUCUUGCUCACGUGCCCUGGAGUGCAGUGGCACAAUCUUGGCUCACUGCAACCUCCGCCUCCUGGGUUCAAGCAAUUCUCCUGCUUCAGCCUCCCAAGUAGCUGGGAUUACAGGUGUGCACCACCACGUCUGGCAAUUUAUUUGUAUUUUUAGUAGAAAUGGGGUUUCGCCGUGUUGGUCAGGCUGGUCUCGAACUCCUGACCUCAGGUGAUCCACCUCCCAAAGUGCUGGGAUUACAGGAGUGAGCCACCAUGCCCCGCCUAUCCCACUUGGCUUUUGACUGAAGGGGAAGUAUAGAAAUAUGUUAAUUUGUGAUUUCUGGUGUCACCUGUGUUACCAAAAACCAAAACCAAAACAAAUCUUUUUUUUUUUUUUUUUG